UAAACAGUCGUGUCGUCGGCGAAUAAAGC
rnacentral:piRNA from 1 species